AACGAGACCUUAACCUGCUAAAUAGCCAGGCUAGCUUUAAAAGGUCGCCGGCUUCUAAGAGGGAAGAGAGGAGAAAGAAGAGGGAAGGGGGAGGAAAGAAAAGGGCUGUGAUACAAAAAGAGUGUCGGGAAAACACGCGCGCUACACUGACAGAGAAAGCGAGUUCAUCACCUUAUCCGAAAGGUCUGGGUAAUCUUGUGAAACUCU
rnacentral:rRNA from 1 species